rnacentral:misc_RNA from 1 species
AAGUCGUAACAAGGUUUCCGUAGGUGAACCUGCGGAAGGAUCAUUAUUAAAUUCUUCUAGUUAAGCGGCUGCGCGUUAAACCGCGCGGCUGUUUUUCUUGUGAACUGGGGCCUGCUAGUUCAAGUUUUACACUUUUUCUAGCGGCCUGUCGUUAAUGCUCUUGUGUUAAUUUUUUUUUGUUUUUGCUUUUUUUAAGCUUAACCGCUUAAGAAAAAUAAUUACAAGACAACUUUCAGCAAUGGAUCUCUUGGCUCUU